UUUCUACUCCCUCUGUCCGAAAAUACUUGUCAUCAAAAUGGAUAAAAAGAGAUGUAUCUAAAACUAAAAUACGUCUAGAUACAUUUCCUUUUAUCCAUUUUGAUGACAAGUAUUUCCAGACGGAGGGAGUAUUUG
rnacentral:pre_miRNA from 1 species